CUACGGGUCGCUGCAGUGAGGAAUAUUGCACAAUGGGGGGAACCCUGAUGCAGCAACGCCGCGUGGAGGAUGACGCAUUUCGGUGUGUAAACUCCUUUUAUAUGUCAAGAAAAUGACGGUAGCAUAUGAAUAAGCACCGGCUAACUCCGUGCCAGCAGUCGCGGUAAUAGCGGAGGGUGCAAGCGUUACUCGGAAUCACUGGGCGUAAAGGACGCGUAGGCGGGUUGGAAAGUCAGGUGUGAAAUCCUACAGCUUAACUGUAGAACUGCACUUGAAACUUCUAAUCUAGAGUAUGGGAGGGGGAGAUGGAAUUAGUGGUGUAGGGGUAAAAUCCGUAGAUAUCACUAGGAAUACCUAAAGCGAAGGCGAUCUCCUGGAACAUUACUGACGCUAAGGCGUGAAAGCGUGGGGAGCAAACAGGAUUAGAUACCCCGGUAGUC
rnacentral:rRNA from 1 species